CGCCCCUCAAGUCCCCUGUGGACUUGGUGUUGGGGAUCGGCGAGGCUGGUUUACCAGCACAAGCCGUCCCUUAAAUUGAUUGGCGGUCUCGCCGUGGCCCUCCUCUGCACAGUAGUAAAACACUCGCAACAGGAGCCCGGCGCGGUCCACUGCCGUAAAACCCCCCAACUUUUUAU
rnacentral:misc_RNA from 1 species